rnacentral:tRNA from 1 species
AGAUGAUUAUAGCUCAGCUGGUUAGAGCGUGGGACACAUGAGCCUGAGGUCGGUGGUUCGAUUCCACCCUAUCGUCUA